GAAAUGCGAUACGUAGUGUGAAUUGCAGAAUUCCGUGAACCAUCGAAUCUUUGAACGCAUAUUGCGCCCGAGGCCUCGGCCAAGGGCAUGUCUGCCUCAGCGUCGGCUCACCCCUCGCCACCCCCUUCCUGUUGUGCAAGCAGCGGCAAGGUGUGGACGGCGGAUCUGGCCGUCUCGGUCCCCUUCAAACGGGACCGGGUCGGCUGAAGCCCAGAGGCUUUGCAGGACCCUGUCACAUGGGCACAGCUUGGUAGGUAGCUCACGCUGCAUGCCGCUGGCGCCUGAUUGGGGCCUGCGCUCACAAAGCCCGCAGGAAAAACAAAACCCUUUGUUUUCGACCUGAGUUCAGGCAAGGCUACCCGCUGAACUUAA
rnacentral:misc_RNA from 1 species